AUUUAGACAUAUACGUAUAUAUUAUUAGAACAAAUACCGCACAGAAAUCUAAUUGUGAUUUAAAUCUAACUAAAUUUUGUGAUUAAAUAAAUAAAAUCUACUUACCGAUAAUCGCUAAGUUCCAAAAAGAAAUUAUGGAAGAAGAAUAUCAACAAAUUGAUCCGGAAGCGUGCGAGGCACUGUCCUAAGGUGUAUUCCCGUCCUUCGUGCGGGAUUAACCGGAAACACCGCCCCAAGAUACGACCGGUACUCCUCCUCCUACGGACACGAACGCGGAAGAGAUUGACGGAGUUUUUUUCAACACCCAAUGAUAAAAGAUCAAAUAAAGUGGAUUAAG
rnacentral:lncRNA from 1 species